GUCCCUGGCCGCGAGCCAGCGCGGGAGGGCGGAUCCGAGCCGCGGGGCGCAGGGGCGCGGGCGCCUGCGGGCCUGGGUCAGGCGGGAGGGGCGGCUCGCGGGUCGCCGCGGAGAUGGCCGUGACGUCACACAGGUCCGGCCCGCAGACCCCCUUCGGGGCUCGGCGACGAUCACUCCGGGGACAAAAUGGACAUGCUAUUCAGAAGAACUUUGUGAUCUGAUGGAUUCUGAUGCAAGCACAGGGGCUUUGGAAAGGCUGACUCACGGAUCCAAGGGAUAUUUCCUGGGCACCGACCCUGGCCCAGGGAUUCGGGAAUGACUUGAAGUUGUCCCGAAAAGGAAUGCGUCUGAAGGACCCAGAGUGUGUGCGCGUUGGGGCCGUGGGUGGUUCCACCCUGACCCUCCAGGGUUUCCUGCUCUCCCGGGCUCCUGGGCCAGGAAAGGAGCUCAGAGAUGUGGAGUCUGGAUCAGAUCUUAGUUUCUUUCAAGCGGGUAGAAAAAUAAAGAAUAGCGUCUCCCCCCACGGCCCCCGUCUUGGAAGCUUUCUGGACUUCACCGCCACCUUCCGUUUGCCGCUCCCCACUCCUGGAUGCCCCCGGAUUCCAGGGCCUGGCAUGUGCCUUCCCACGAGGAUUCCUGAGGGAAGCAAGUGACAUGAAAAUCCACCGACCUUGCUUCACAGUCUCGUGCUCUGGUGCAGUGAAAAGUCCAUCAUAGCUGGCCCCCAAGCCAUGGCCGGUCUGAGGUCCGGCCGCCCCACCUGCAUCAGGGUGGCCUUCAGCUCCGCCAGCACCAGGGCUGGCUUCCGCAAGAGGCAGAGAAACACACUCCAUCGCUUCAAGGCCAAUCACAAAAAGAAUCACAUGGACUUAAUUGAAGGUAUCUGGAGGGAGUUUUUAGAUCCUUUCGAUGGCGAUUCAGAAGAUCCCCCCGGUCACCUGGCCUCCAGCCACAGUGACUGUUCUCCAGGUGACGCGAAUGGUACUGGGCCUUCCCACGCGCUCAGGUGCGGGCGUCCGGGAGAAGUUAGCUUAGAAGACCCUCGCUCGUCCAAAACCGCAGACUUCCCGCUGAGAGCGGCCAGCCGGGGCCCCACGUCUCUUGAGGCCAACGACGUGGAUAUGCAGCCCGUGGAGGCCAGCAGCCCUGAGACUCGAGGCCGGGCUACCCGGCGCUCGGGGUCGCCGGAAGACUGGAGGAUGACCGAGGACCCGUGGCCCAGGGCAGCUGGCCCCCUCCUCCCCGCCACGGGUCCCCUGGAGCCAGGCCGCCCGGCACAGAGCAGAACUAGAGCCACCCGGCCGCCACCCAGACUCGGGGGUGAGAAGGACAAGGGACCCAAGCUGAGCCUCUCCAAGAGGAAACUGGAACUUUUACUUGCAGAGCCUGAGAAAACGAAGAGAAAGAAGCAGUACGCGGCCUAGGCCAAGGCAUGAAUUGAGUACAAGUCUGGUGCCAGCGCCGGGGGGCCGCGGCCCACACGCCUAGGACCACCGUCCCCAAGUGCCAAUAAAAGGGAAGUGCACGUGA